AAAGACUUAGUCCUAACCUUACCGUUAAUUCUUGCUAAAUAUAUACAUGCAAGUAUCUGCGCUCCAGUGUAAAUGCCCUUGACAUCUUAUUAAAGAGAAAAGGAGCGGGUAUCAGGCACACCCAAAUUGUAGCCCAAGACGCCUUGCUCAGCCACACCCCCACGGGUACUCAGCAGUAAUUAAUAUUAAGCAAUAAGUGAAAACUUGACUUAGUUAUAGCAACUUCAGGGUUGGUAAAUCUUGUGCCAGCCACCGCGGUCACACAAGAGACCCAAAUUAACUGUAUGCGGCGUAAAGAGUGGUACCAUGUUAUCACAACAACUAAGACCAAAGCACAACUAAGCUGUCAUAAGCCCAAGAUGUGUCUAAGGCCUGCCUUAAAAAUGAUCUUAGUACUUUUGACCAAUUUAACCCCACGAAAGCUAAGACACAAACUGGGAUUAGAUACCCCACUAUGCUUAGCCCUAAAUCUUGACGUUCCUCCUCAUACUAGAACGUCCGCCCGAGGACUACGAGCACAAACGCUUAAAACUCUAAGGACUUGGCGGUGCCCCAAACCCACCUAGAGGAGCCUGUUCUGUAAUCGAUAACCCACGUUACACCCAACCGCCUCUCGCCAAACACAGCCUAUAUACCGCCGUCGCCAGUUCACCUCUCCUGAGAGCCCAGCAGUGAACAUAAUAGCCCAAACCCGCUAAUAAGACAGGUCGAGGUAUAGCCUACGGGGCGGAAGAAAUGGGCUACAUUUUCUAAAAUAGGAAAUUCAUACGGAAGAAGGCGUGAAAUCGCCUUCUGAAGGCGGAUUUAGAAGUAAAGUGAGAUAAUAUAAGCUCUCUUAAAACUGGCUCUGGGACACGUACAUACCGCCCGUCACCCUCCUCAUAAGCUACAAACUACUAUACCUAAUAUAAUCACAAGCUGAAGAUGAGGCAAGUCGUAACAAGGUAAGUGUACCGGAAGGUGCACUUAGCAUAC
rnacentral:ncRNA from 1 species